rnacentral:rRNA from 1 species
CUUUUUGUAGAACGGGCCAACGAGUUACGUUAAGUAGCAAGGUUAAGCACUUAAGGUGCGGAGCCGUAGCGAAAGCGAGUUUUAACUGAGCGUUCAGUUACUUGACGUAGACCCGAAACCGGGCGACCUACCCAUGAGCAGGAUGAAGCGAAAGUAAAAUUUCGUGGAGGUCCGAACCCACGAGCGUUGAAAAGCUCGGGGAUGACUUGUGGGUAGCGGUGAAAUUCCAAUCGAGCCCGGAGAUAGCUGGUUCUCCCCGAAAUAGCUUUAGGGCUAGCCUCAAGGUGAGAGAUACGGAGGUAGAGCACUGAAUGUCCUAGGGGGUAUUGCACCUACCGAAGACUAUCAAACUCCGAAUGCCGUCAUCUUAUACUUGGGAGUCAGACUGUGGGUGAUAAGAUUCAUAGUCGAAAGGGCAACAGCCCAGAUCGUCAGCUAAGGUCCCUAAAUGUAAGUUAAGUGGUAAAGGAUGUGGGAUUGCACAGACAACCAGGAUGUUGGCUUAGAAGCAGCCACUCAUUCAAAGAGUGCGUAAUAGCUCACUGGUCGAGUGAUCCUGCGCCGAAGAUUUCCGGGGCUAAAACUUACUACCGAAGCUACGGCAUCAGUAAUGAUGGGUAGGGGAGCUUCCCAUACGGGUUGAAGCAUGACCGUAAGGACAUGUGGACAGUAUGGGAGUGAGAAUGUUGGCAUGAGUAGCGAGAUGUGGGUGAGAAUCCCACAGGCCGUAAACCCAAGGUUUCCAGGGGAAGGUUCGUCCGCCCUGGGUUAGUCGGGACCUAAGCUGAGGCCGAAAGGCGUAGGUGAUGGACAACAGGUUGAUAUUCCUGUACUACCGAUAACCGUUUGAGAGAAGGGAUGACACAGUAGGAUAAGCUAAGCACACUGUUGGUUAUGUGUGCCCAAGCAUUGAGGCAGUCAAAGUAGGCAAAUCCGCUUUGAUAAUGCUGGGAUGUGAUGGGGAGCGAAAUUUAGUAGCGAAGUAGCUGAUUUCACACUGUCAAGAAAAGUCUCUAUCGAGGUUAAAGGUACCCGUACCGCAAACCGACACAGGUGGGUGAGGAGAGUAUCCUAAGGCCAGCGAGAGAACUGUUGUUAAGGAACUCGGCAAAAUGACCCCGUAACUUAGGGAUAAGGGGUGCCACCAUCAGGUGGCCGCAGAGAAUAGGCCCAAGCGACUGUUUACCAAAAACAUAGGUUUCUGCUAAGUCGCAAGACGAUGUAUAGGAGCUGACGCCUGCCCGGUGCUGGAAGGUUAAGGGGAUCUGUUAGAGCAAUCGAAGCAGUGAACUUAAGCCCCAGUAAACGGCGGCCGUAACUAUAACGGUCCUAAGGUAGCGAAAUUCCUUGUCGGGUAAGUUCCGACCCGCACGAAAGGCGUAACGAUUUGGGCACUGUCUCAACAACAGACUCGGUGAAAUUGUAAUUCCGGUGAAGAUGCCGGAUACCUGCGACAGGACGGAAAGACCCCAUGGAGCUUUACUGUAGCUUGACAUUGGGUCUUGGUACUACAUGUACAGGAUAGGUGGGAGGCUUUGAAACCAGGACGCCAGUUUUGGCGGAGCCAUCCUUGGGAUACCACCCUUGUAGUACUGGGACUCUAACCAUAGGCCAUGAAUCUGGUCUUGGGACACUGUCA